rnacentral:lncRNA from 1 species
CUACCUGCGCUAUUUGCGAGUAGACCUUGCUAGUUAUAUAUACAGGGAUGGUGUUAUAAGCUAUUUGGCAGGUGCCUAAAAUGGGCGACAUGAACAGGCCAUGCUCUAAGCUAUCAAAUCUCCAUGGCACAAUCCUCGUUCCUACUUCUUGGUCCUUAGUUCAUGCAUUGUUCUUCUUCCCCAAUCAACCCGACAGUGUGUAACAACCUGGCCUAGGAAAACAGCUAAGGCCUAUUUUACAUGUUGAAUGGACCGCACCUGCUAAUUAACUCGCUUGCCUUGCUUCGCAAGGAAGUUACAAUCGGAGUUAACAGCUUCCUACAAUCACCUAUUUAAGCUGGUUUGGCUCCCUCGAAGCAAGUUACAAUCGGAGUUAACAGCUUCCUACAAUCACCUAUUUAAGCUGGUUUGGCUCCCUCUCCGUUUCCGAUUUGGGACUAUCCUUGCGUCGCUAUAGUGUUUUGGCGCUAUAGUAACCCGAAUUCAGUCCGACCCAUGGGCUAGGAUGUCACAUACACCCACGUCACAUACACCCACCCUAAAGAACUCGACAUCCUCGUCGAGCUAUCAAACUAGCUUACUCUCACGGGACAAGGAUUCAGGAACGACUUUCCUAGGCCCACUCUACAUGUUGAAUGGACCACACCUGCUAAUUAACUCGCUUGCACUUUCGUCCUUGCUUCAUACAAAAGGUUGCAACACGAGUU